rnacentral:rRNA from 1 species
UACAGAGGGUGCUAGCGUUAAUCGGAUUUACUGGGCGUAAAGCGUGUGUAGGUGGUCACGUAAGUCGGGUGUGAAAUCCCUGGGCUCAACCUGGGAACUGCAUUCGAUACUGCGUGACUAGAGUACGGCAGAGGGUGGCGGAACUCCGGGUGUAGCGGUGAAAUGCGUAGAUAUCCGGAAGAACAUCAAUGGCGAAGGCAGCCACCUGGGCCUGUACUGACACUGAGACACGAAAGCGUGGGGAUCAAACAGG